AUUGAACGCUGGCGGCAGGCUUAACACAUGCAAGUCGAGCGGGGAAGGGUAGCUUGCUACCUAACCUAGCGGCGGACGGGUGAGUAAUGCUUAGGAAUCUGCCAUUUAGUGGGGGACAACAUUCCGAAAGGAAUGCUAAUACCGCAUACAUCCUACGGGUGAAAGAAGGGGAUCUUCGGACCUUGCGCUAAAUGAUGAGCCUAAGUCGGAUUAGCUAGUUGGUGGGGUAAAGGCCUACCAAGGCGACGAUCUGUAGCGGGUCUGAGAGGAUGAUCCGCCACACUGGGACUGAGACACGGCCCAGACUCCUACGGGAGGCAGCAGUGGGGAAUAUUGGACAAUGGGCGGAAGCCUGAUCCAGCCAUGCCGCGUGUGUGAAGAAGGCCUUAUGGUUGUAAAGCACUUUAAGCGAGGAGGAGGCUACUAGUAUUAAUACUACUGGAUAGUGGACGUUACUCGCAGAAUAAGCACCGGCUAACUCUGUGCCAGCCGCCGCCGUAAUAC
rnacentral:rRNA from 1 species